GCGGUGGAGCAUGUGGUUUAAUUCGACGCAACGCGAAGAACCUUACCUGGGCUCGAAAUGUUAUGGACCGCGGUGGAAACAUCGCUUUCCCGCAAGGGACCGUAAUAUAGGUGCUGCAUGGCUGUCGUCAGCUCGUGUCGUGAGAUGUUGGGUUAAGUCCCGCAACGAGCGCAACCCUUACUUCCAGUUGCCAUCAUUUAGUUGGGCACUCUGGCAGAACCGCCUCGGAUAACGGGGAGGAAGGUGGGGAUGACGUCAAGUCCUCAUGGCCUUUAUGUCCAGGGCUACACACGUGCUACAAUGGCCGGUACAAACCGUCGCAAACCCGUGAGGGGGAGCUAAUCGGAAAAAGCCGGCCUCAGUUCGGAUCGUAGUCUGCAACUCGACUACGUGAAGCUGGAAUCGCUAGUAAUCGCGGAUCAGAACGCCGCGGUGAAUACGUUCCCGGGC
rnacentral:rRNA from 1 species